rnacentral:rRNA from 1 species
AGUGAACGCUGGCGGUAGGCCUAACACAUGCAAGUCGAACGGCAGCACAGUAAGAGCUUGCUCUUACGGGUGGCGAGUGGCGGACGGGUGAGGAAUACAUCGGAAUCUACUUUUUCGUGGGGGAUAACGUAGGGAAACUUACGCUAAUACCGCAUACGACCUACGGGUGAAAGCAGUGGAUCUUCGGACCUUGCGCGAUUGAAUGAGCCGAUGUCGGAGUAGCUAGUUGGCGGGGUAAAGGCCCACCAAGGCGACGAUCCGUAGCUGGUCUGAGAGGAUGAUCGGCCACACUGGAACUGAGACACGGUCCAGACUCCUAAGGGAGGCAGCAGUGGGGAAUAUUGGACAAUGGGCGCAAGCCUGAUCCAGCCAUACCGCGUGGGUGAAGAAGGCCUUCGGGUUGUAAAGCCCUUUUGUUGGGAAAGAAAAGCAGCAGGUUAAUACCCCGCUGUUCUGACGGUACCCAAAGAAUAAGCACCGGCUAACUUCGUG